UCACUUGAUGUUUGUUUGAUUAUGGAAUCAAUAUGUAUGUGAUGAAUUGACUUUCAAUUUUUUUUUUUUUUUUUUUUUGGUUGUGGCAGAUUUUUUCUACUUCAAGGUUGGAUAUACCCAGUGCUUGGCAAUUGCCGCAGAAACUUGAGGGCACCCAUAAUUGCUGAAAUGUUCAAUUGUACUAGCUGAUAACUUCUUGCUUUGGAGAUGAUGAUGAAGAAUAAAAUGUAUCAAAACUUUUAACUCUUGGACAGAUUUGGUCUUUGUACAAAUUGUGGUUGUUGAUAUCUUUUUCUCUUAAACGGUAAUUGACAUAUCAGCAGUUUGUAUGCAGUCUAUAAUCUGUUAAUUUGUAGAUUUGAGUUUAGAGGUCAAAGAAAGUGUAAUUGUAGCAAUAUACCACUUUUGCUAUACAUUAAUAUCAUAGCAUAUCAUAUCAACAAUU